rnacentral:lncRNA from 10 species
GCAAAGUAAAUAGAAUUCAAAUAAGUAUGGAAUUAUAUGGAAAGAGAUACUAAUGGCUGAAUAUAAGAAGAAGGUAUAACAGGUCAAGUUUGUAUUCUUGGAUUUGGGCCAAUUUGGACAAACAGAGUUGGGAUAGUAAACAUUCCAAGAAGAGAACAGGAUAAACAGAACUGCAGUAAGGCCCCAAGAAGAUUGGUUGGUGCCCACCCAUAUGGAGGGCAGAUCUUCCACCCUCAGUUCACUAAGAUUCACAUGCAAAUCACCUCUGGAAUCAUCCUCACAGACAUACUAAAAAAUAAUGUUUUACCAGAUUUCCAGCCUAUUCACCAUGAAGAUGAUGAAGAUGAAAAUAUUUAUGAUGGCUCUACUUCCACUUAGUGAAUGAUUUAGAUCAAAUUCUGCCUUUGAAAACUUCACCUUUUUAUCUACAUGAAAGAUGGGGACAGAUGUUUCCAAUGCUUACUAUAGCUUCAAAAAUGUUUCAAAAUCCUAAUAGGUUCUAUGCACAUGAACUCUUUUGCUUACACUGAUGUAUUUUUAAACGUAUUGAUCACAUACCAGAUAUGUUGCCCAACUAGCUAUAUAAUCACUGGGACUCUAUAAGAAGAAAACUUGGACAAAAGAAAGUGAAAGCAUUGUAGCUUAGGACCACUUCAAACCAGCUGAGAGCACUUACAGAGCUGUAUUUUU